rnacentral:misc_RNA from 1 species
GUGAAUCAUCGAAUCUUUGAACGCACAUUGCGCCCGCCAGCAUUCUGGCGGGCAUGCCUGUUCGAGCGUCAUUUCAACCCCUCAGGCCCUGGUGCCUGGCGUCGGGGCUCUCCCUCCGCGGGAGGCCCCCAGAGACAGUGGCGGACCCGCCGCGGCUCCGAGCGCAGUAGUAACAUUCUCGCUCUGGAGGUCCGCGGGGGGGCUCCCGGCCGUAAAACCCCGGCGCAAGCCGAACUUCUUUAAGGUUGACCUCGGAUCAGGUAGGAAUACCCGCUGAACUUAAGCAUAUCAAUAAGCGGAGGA